ensembl:lincRNA Gm44269 predicted gene, 44269
GAGAAACUUGUCGAAGCCAUCGGCUUUGCCUGUCUCAAAUGACUGCCCCGAGACCUACACGCAAGAGGUCCUUCCUGUAGGAGCCCAGUGCACAGAGACCAGGAAGCCUCUUUCUGUCACCAUCGAUGCCCAGCUAAAAGUGUUUCUGUCAAGGUCACAUCCUCACACCAAGCACCCACGGGUGGCAAUAUUCCAUUCCAUUCUGUCAGCACCACAGGUCUCUCUUCUACAAAUGUUGACUGCCCGUGGCACAGGCUCCAACCCAGAAAGUCCUCCAUGGAAGCUCAGCAGAAACACCCAGUGCAGGAACACGAGCCGGCCCUGAUCCUCAGCAGCAGAGGCAAGACAGUGUCUCGGACAGGGCUGUCAAGACCAGAGUCCUAGACUUCACUGCUUCAUGACGUUGAUAUCACAAACAGAUUGUAAGCCUGCCAAGAACAUGGUUCUCUCAGCCUUAAUAUGGAGAUAGCAGGAAACCAAAGGUGUCAUUGUAAGAUGAGGCCCAAGCAAAUGGAUAAGGUCCUCUAGCUCUGUGCCCUGUGCAUAGUGAGUAUUCCUAAGUGUGAACAUUAUGUGAAAUGAUGAUUAUGAUGGUGGUAGUGGUGGUGAUGGUGUUGAUGAUGGUGCUGCUGAUGGUGGUGGUAGUGGUCAUGGUGAUGGUUGUGGUGGUAAAUUCAGGCAUGCAGCUACCCCAACUCCUCCUACAUCACUGCUAAAGCAGUGGUUCUCAGCCUUCUUAAUGUUUCAACCCAUUACGUCAGCUCCUCAUGCUGUGGUGACCACCAACCAUAAAGUUAUUCUGUUGCUACCUCAUAACAGUAAUUUCACUACUGUUAUGAACUGGAAUCUCUGACAUGCAGGAUAUCUGAUCUCUAACCCCCAAAGGGGUCAUGACCCACAGGUUGAGAACUGCUGAUCUAGUGCUAAAGGGCUAAAGGACCAGUCUGAGGAGUGUGCCCUGGACUUCUGUGGUCAGCUGAACAGAAAUCAGUCGCCACAGCAGAAGCUAAAUGAGUUCCCAGUAAGGAAUCUAAGAACAGCCCCAUCUUCUCUAAGAACAGCCCCAUCUUCUCUCCUUCCUUCCCAGCCAAUGCCAGAAUAGGUGGGUUUACAAAGUUCGUGACAGAUUAGAAUCGUUGAACUUAGCUACUUGCUCUUAUAUUACAUCGUCAGGACUGGUAGAUAUCUGUGAUCUGGGGAUUGAAACUCGGCCACACAUGGGAUACGGAACUCCAGAAUUCAUUCAGCACAUGGAAUCGGUACUCUGUGAUGAAGAGAAAUUUUUGCUAGCUCUAAAAAGCUGUCUCUGAUGAGUCAUAAACCUGCUUGUAUAUUCUAACACAAUUGCUAGUGGCGAAAACUAAGCUGACGGUAAAGAUGGUGGUGGGGACAGUUUAAAAGUGCCCCCAAUCCUAAAUACUUCACAAGUUUCACCUUGGUCUUCAAAACCACCCUGUGUGGGAGGGGCUCUCGGUGUCCCAUGUCACAGACAAGGACCCACACAAAAUGCUAACUGCACUCCAGGAUCAGAGUCAGUAUAAGUAGCGGAUGGGGAACCCUCUCCAGGCACCUGGGCCUUCCUUGACCUCUGGUUAUGCUGAUCCCAGGAGGGAGGGCUCAGCUUUCAGAAAGUAUGUACACUGAAUAAAACAUUUCUGACUACUUAGUUUCUUUACUCAUUGCUGGAAUGGAGCGCUUGACAAAGGCACCUUAAAGGGGGAAGGAAUUGCUUUGAAUCACGGUUUGAAGAUAGCAUCCAUGGCUGUAGGAGCUGGAGGCAGCGGCUCUUGGGGCGUCUGCAGUCAGGAAUCACAGAGAGAUGGAAGCUAGUGCUCGGCUUGCUUUCUCCUUGUUAUUCAGUCUGGGCCCCAGCCCACGGGAUGGUUCUGUUCGGUUGGGGUAGAUCUUUCCUGUCAAUGAACCCUGUCUGGAAAUUUCCUCAUAGCAUGGCCAGAAGUUUGUCUCCUAUGUGAUUUUACAGCUCUUCCCUUUGAUAAUAUUAACUACCACAAGGUUCAUCAGGCAAGUCACCCUGAACACACUGACCUGCCACAACAUCAAACACAUCUGACCAGCUUCAUAAGAGGCCCCACAUGCCCUUCCAGAUUUUCAGGGGCUUACAGAAGAGAGACUGGGAAGAUGCUGGCUUCAUGACGACACAUGGAAAAGCAUGAUGGUGUGGGGAGAGGGCUGUCACAAGAAAGCAUUUGCUGAUAUAAAUUUAUAAAUUUUCAAAAUGA